rnacentral:lncRNA from 1 species
CCCCAUCCUUUAAUUAAAAACCCAAUCAACCCAUGUGGACCCAAUCUGGUUUUAAAUCGAACCCCAAAGGCUUCAAAUUGGAUUUGGGCUAAAUCCUUGGAUGGGAUCCAAGCAAGUAAGUUCAUAGUAUGAUGAACUAAGAAAUUUUAUAAUAAAUAAAUGGGGAAUAAUGUAAACCCUAUGAUGUUGUUUUAGGUGAUUAAGGAUUUGUCACCUGGACUUGAGCAAUUUGGAAAGCGAAUUGAUGUAAGUAAUCUGUCUUAAUCUUAUCGUAGAUCUUGUAUUACGUUUUAUAAGAUGAACCAGUGUUUUUCAUACAAUUUGAAUUGUAUACAUAAUUUGUGAAGAAAGUAAGUAAUCUAUUUUAAUCUUAUUGUGGAUCAUGUUACUAUGUUUGUUAAGUUUUUAAAGUGUUAUUCAUGCAUGAUAUAUUAUGAUGGAUAAGUAACUUGCAUGAUCUCAUAAACUAUGGCCAUGUAUGCACCAUGAUUAUGCUGAUAUUUUAAUCAUGCAUGCAAGUUGGUAUAAUGAAAUACUAUCUAGCCAAGAUGCACUAUAAUGGGCUCAAAGAUGCUACUGAUCGAAUGCAACUGAGCUGGCCUUGCUAGUGGCCGAGAAUGACUAAGCUGGCCUUGCUAGUGGCCGAGAAUGACUAGCUGGCCCCGCCAGUGGCCGAAUGGACUUCGCAGUAGCAUCCGAGAGAAUGGACCACGGCAUGCCGGGGGCACGGUUUCAUAUGCAUACUUUAUGAAAAUGAUAUUUGAAGCAUGAUCAUG